rnacentral:rRNA from 1 species
GAUGAGUUUGAUCCUGGCUCAGAAUGAACGCUAGCGGUAAACUUUACACAUGCAAGUUGAACGUUCUUUUUUAAAGAAAGUAGCGAACGGGUGAGUAACGCAUGAGAACCUACCAAAAAGUUUGGUGAGAUCCCAAAUAAUCAAAAGAUAAUUUCGCUUUUUGAGGGGCUUGUGUAGGAUUAGGUAGUUGGUAGGGUAAAAGCCUACCAAGCCGAUGAUCCUUAGCUGGUCUGAGAGGAUGAUCAGCCACACUGGCACUGAGACACGGGCCAGAUUCGUUAGAAGCAGCAGUGAGGAAUCUUGGACACUGGGCGAAAGCCUGAUCCAGUUAUACCGCGUGAGGGAUGAAGACCAGUUGUGUUGUAAACCUCUUUCAUCAAGAUUAGACAAUGACAAGACUUGAAAAAGAAACUCCGGCUAACUUCCGUGCCAGCAGCCGCGGUAAUACGGGGGGAGUAAGCGUUAUUCGGAAUGACUGGGCGUAAAGGGCACGUAGGCGGUUUUUUAGGUUGAAAGUGUAAGUUCCAGGCCUUACUUGGAGAAUGUUUUCAAAACCCAAAAUCUAGAGCCUGAGUGAGGAGAGUAGAAUUUUUAGUGGAGAGGUGAAAUUUGUAGAGAUUAAAAGGAAUGCCAAGGCGAAGGCAACUCUCUGAAUCAAUGGCUGACGCUGAGGUGCGAAAGCGUAGGGAGCGAGCGGGAUUAGAGACCCCGUUAGUCUACGCAGUCAACGAUGCCGGUUCACCCUUGCGUGAAAACGCAGGGGUCUAGCUAACGCGUCAAACCGGCCGCCUGAGGACUACGGCCGCAAGGUUAAAACUCAAAGGAAUUGACGGGGGCUCGCACAAGCAGUGGAGUAUGCGCUUUAAUUCGAUACAACGCGAAAAACCUUACCAGUUCUUGACAUACCUAUGAAAUCCUUUUAAAAGAGGAUAAAUCUAAAAGCUCUGCUUUUAUGAUACGAGGUACAGGUGCUGCAUGGCUGUCGCCAGCUCGUGUCGUGAGAUGUUUGGUUCAGUCCUGAAACGAGCGAAACCCUUUUUCUGAGUCUUGAUUACUCAGAAUAGAGUCUGUGAUAAGCAGAAGGAAGGAGGACUACGUCAAGUCAUCAUGGCCCUUAUGAACUGGGCUUGACGCGUACUACAAUGGAAAGUACAAAAGGAGGCGAUAAUGAAAGUUGGAGCAAAUCCUAAAAACUUUCCUUAGUUGGGAUUGGUCUCUGAAAUUCGAGAUCAUGAACGAGGAAUUGCUAGUAAUCGUGGAUCAGCAUGCCACGGUGAAAAUGUACCCGAGCCUUGUACACCCCGCCCGUCACAUUUUGGGAAUUGAAUUUGCUUGAUGCGAAGAAGAUCUCUUUUGAAAUCUUAUGAAUAUUUUCAUAUGAUGUUUGUAGAUUUUCUUCAUAAGUGUGAAUUGAGUGACUGAAAUGAAGUCGUAACAAGGUAACCGUUGGGGAACCAGUGGUUGGAAUAACGCCUU